UGUAAACAAGUCAAAUGAUACGUGAGUCACUCGACAUCAGCUAAUUAAAAGCAUGAAUUAAGCCAAGCUUAAACGGAGUUUGCGGCAGUGGAGUUGUGGCUCGAUGAAGAGACGGAGUUUGCGGCAGUGGCGUUCGGCAGCGGCUUCCUCGGUCUCGGACUCUCGGUUGAGGAAGAAGCGAAAAUCUGAACAAGGUUUAUGGUUCAGGAAUGCAUUUGGACAGCUGACAGCAGGGAUGCGGUAGGUGGUAAUAGUCACACUAGAGGAGCUUGAAGCUAUUGAACGACGAUCACGGCUUCA